CGUACCGCUCCAAAGGCUCUCUAGGCUUCACUGUUAGCCGACCUUCUACAGUAACCAACUAUUCUCUGAACUCCUUCUAGACUCCGUCGAUAUCCGAGCUUCUUCGACAAUGAGAUUUAUACAGAAAUCGAACUCCAUCCGAGUUUCUACGACGGUCGACUACCUUCAAGAUUCCGAUCGGGCUCCUGUGAGAGCCAAACUUCUACUACGAGCGAUCUACUCCGAACUCCUACAGCGAGCUGUCUACUCCAAACUCCUACAGUGAGCGGUCUACUCCGAACUCCUAU
rnacentral:lncRNA from 1 species